AUGGGGAGUGGAAGGGCAGACAGCAAAGGAGAGAGGAAGAGUCCUUUGUUUAUUUUCUGUGAUGGUUUAGUGUCCCGUGGUCAAGGUACUGCAGCAGCUCAGCAGGGUGGAUAUGAGAUCCCAGCAAGGUUGCGGACGUUGCACAACCUGGUGAUUCAGUACGCAGCCCAAGGUCGCUAUGAGGUGGCCGUGCCACUCUGUAAGCAGGCACUGGAGGACCUGGAGCGCACAUCAGGCCGUGGCCACCCUGAUGUUGCCACCAUGCUCAACAUCCUUGCUUUGGUGUAUCGGGACCAGAAUAAGUAUAAGGAAGCUGCCCACCUGCUGAAUGAUGCCCUCAGCAUCCGGGAGAGCACCCUGGGCCCUGAUCAUCCUGCUGUCAGUAUUCCUUGCCCUCCCUGCCCCACACUCCACACCCCACACCCCAUACCAUUGCUGUUUUGGCCUCUCUUAGCUCAUCCAUCUGCUGCCCUCAGUCCACUCACUAAGGGUGCUGAGAAAGGAGGAGUAAGAAGUCCUUUCUUCCAGGCACUGUCCAGUGAUCCUAGUGCUUAAUUCUCUGAGACUCAGUGACUCCUUUUUAUAACGAGUAUUUUGCUUGAACUUAAUUCAUAGAUAAGUCAUAGGUAAAUCCAUAUAUGAUUUCUAAAAAAGUUAAUAUGCUACUUUAGUAAAUAU